UCCUACGGGAGGCAGCAGUAGGGAAUCUUCCGCAAUGGACGAAAGUCUGACGGAGCAACGCCGCGUGAGUGAUGAAGGCUUUCGGGUCGUAAAACUCUGUUGUUAGGGAAGAACAAGUGCUAGUUGAAUAAGCUGGCACCUUGACGGUACCUAACCAGAAAGCCACGGCUAACUACGUGCCAGCAGCCGCGGUAAUACGUAGGUGGCAAGCGUUAUCCGGAAUUAUUGGGCGUAAAGCGCGCGCAGGUGGUUUCUUAAGUCUGAUGUGAAAGCCCACGGCUCAACCGUGGAGGGUCAUUGGAAACUGGGAGACUUGAGUGCAGAAGAGGAGAGUGGAAUUCCAUGUGUAGCGGUGAAAUGCGUAGAGAUAUGGAGGAACACCAGUGGCGAAGGCGACUUUCUGGUCUGUAACUGACACUGAGGCGCGAAAGCGUGGGGAGCAAACAGGAUUAGAUACCCUGGUAGUCCACGCCGUAAACGAUGAGUGCUAAGUGUUAGAGGGUUUCCGCCCUUUAGUGCUGAAGUUAACGCAUUAAGCACUCCGCCUGGGGAGUACGGCCGCAAGGCUGAAACUCAAAGGAAUUGACGGA
rnacentral:rRNA from 1 species